UGUCGCUCUCUACAAAAUGUACAUAAGUUAGCAAGCUACACUACACCGAGGAGACAUGUGUGCCUCAUUUCGAAUUAAUUUCCUAACCGCGUGUUCCGAGUUUACGAGCAAAAUGACGAACCGGGACGGAGACAUAGGUCACCACCCACAGAGGCAGAGAGGACCAGGGACAGGUGACAGGACACUGACCCAGUGGACGAAGCUCUGCUGAUUAACACCAGAUGUGAGCGGCUCAGAGUGUCGGCGAUAGCCUGAGAGGGCCCCACUCUACUCCAUUCGGCCCUGGCUUGUAAAAGGUGCCCGAGCGCCUUCUUCACACAUGGCUGACAAUAAUAUCUGUGGUGUUCAUCCCCCAGAUCCACAGGAAGCUCAAGACAUCAGGCAGCCUGACACCCAACGCAGCCGCCCUCUCUGGAUUUGCAGCAUUAGCAGCAGACGUGAAUCAUCGUCGGGAUGUAGAGCAGAUGGAGACGCGGAGGGAUGGCUUUGGGAAGGACAGUCGGGAAGACGGGGGCUAUUCUGUGAAGACCUCCCCCGAUGCCGGUGGAUGGUAGGGAAUAAUUGGAGCUUGCCAUAGGAGCCGAGACUGGCCGCCACGCCGACGCCGAGAUCUGAAGUUGCAGAGAAUCGCGGCAGUUUUGCAGGGGUCGUGACGUGAGGCCCCUGGUACCGCGGACAACGAAUAACGCUGCAGCCAAUGACGUAAUAAAGCAUCUGAAUCUGAGCUGCUCAUCGUGAACAAUAAUCUGUCGGCGUCUUGCCAACAGAGCAAGUUCAUCUUCGAGCUGGAGCUGGGUCAUCGCGCCACGCAGGUAAACAAGGCCCACACUCCUCUGUGACUCGUGUACAGGUCUCAGGUUCUCUGCUGUUUGUGACUGCACGUUUUGUGAAGAGUGUGAGGCCCCCCCCCCCCCCUUAAAUGUGUUGAAGAACAACCGUGCAGCUCCCUUCCUCCCUCUCUCGCUUUAUAUUCCACGCAACAAACUUUUUUUCUUUUUUUUAAAACAUGCAAAGCCCCUGAAAUCUCCUGCACGCGACCUGGUGCUCGUGCGCGGCGCGGCGCGGCGCAGGAGCCGGGGCAGGUGCAAGUUGGGGCGCGAGGACCCGCUGCAACUCGGGGCUCGUGCUCCCCAGAGUGCAGACUCACACAAAAAGAAGAGAGAGAGAAAGAGAGAGAGAGAGAGAGAGAGAGAGAGAAAAGAAGAAGAAAAGAAAAGGGGAGCAAAAUCAAAAGAGACGUGGAGUCUGACUGAAUUAACUGCGCUUGUUUCAGUGUUUCAAAUCGCCAGAGCGAAACAAAUAUCGACAGCACAUAAUAGUCCUCCACGGAAAUAAAAGGUUCACUCUUAUAACGAAUAAUCUAUUAAUGCUUUUAUGGUUUCUUAAAAUAUUUUCUGACUCAUAAUCCCUACAAGUAGAGAUUUUUUUAAAGAUCAAAAUCUCUCUUUUUGUUUGUCUACUCUUUGAAAGUGAGUUUGACUUUUGAUGGUUGUCUAUGUAUAUGUUUAGAACGUGUUGGCUAUAGGCUCUUUUCAAUAUUACAAUAACAAGCUAAAUGCAAACACGUUCACCUACACUUGACUCAACAUUUAUGCCUUGUAAUUAAUUGGAAUAUAAUUAGCCUCGUGGACAACUGUGACUGUUGUCACAGUUGUAUUAUUAGUAGUAUUAGGAGUAUUGUUGUUGUUAUUAUUGUUAUUAUGUAAAAACAGACAUCUGUAUCAAUAAAUCAAAUUCACAGUA